GUAGGUUUAUUUGAACAGUGAGAGACAGAAUAACAACAAAACAAUCCAGAAAAACAUGUCAAAAUGUUUAUAAAUUGAUUUGCAUUUUAAUGUGUGAAAUAGGUAUUUUAUCCCCUCUCAAUCAGAAAGAUUUCUGGCUCCCAGUUGUCUUCUUUACAGGAAACGAGCUGAGAUUAGGAGCACACUUAAAAGGAGGGUUCCUAAUCUCAGCUUGUUAUCUGUAUAAAAGACACCUGUCCAAAGAAGCAAUCAGAUUCCAAACGCUCCACCAUGGCCAAGACCAAAGAGCUGUCCAAGGAUGUUAGGGACAAGAUUGUAGACCUACACAAGGCUGGAAUGGGCUACAAGACCAUCGCACAUGUACAGGCCCGUCUGAAGUUUGCCAUUGAACCUUAAUCCCAUAAAUCUGUGGAGGGAGCUAAAGGGUAGAGUUGCCAAACGUCACCCUCGAAACCUCCGGAUCUUCUGAUUUAUGGUAACCCGACUGCUUCGAUGGAACAAUCCCACUACCUUAGAAGUGUCAACAAUUAUUGCUGUUAACACGUAACUGAAUACAAAGUUCCUGCUGUGUCUGGUGCACAAACUGCUGCGCCCUCAUUACUAAAACAGCUCACAGGUCUCAGUAAAAACACUCCUGUAAUCUUCUGUCAACACAACCAAAUUAUACAUAAAAUUCCCCCAAGAAAUACAGAGAAAAGACCAGAUGCAUUGCAGCAUCAAUAAUCAGUUGGGUGGUUGGUACUAGCCUGCCUAUCUGAACACAUACUAACUGAUUUAUAGCUAAUAUUGGUUACCAAAAACCAGACAUUCAAUAUGUGCUUUUAAAACUUAGCUGCUGCACAGAAGCAUCUGUAAGAACUUGGCAAAGAAGAAACCUCUUAAGUAUUUUAGCGAGUGUGAAUAGUUUGUAUGGUGGUAAUGUUUGAUUCAGUUCCAGAGAACUAAACUACCUCACCUUAUAGGGUGAGGCAAGAAAAACAAAUCUUAUGCUUUAAUAGAUUGCAAGCAAAUAGUAUGACAACCGCUUUUCUUUAUCACUUAGAUAUCCACAGAAUACAUUUAAUCAUCAGAUUGUUAUUUGCUGGAUGGAAAAUCAAGUGAAGUAAAAUAUAACUUCUUGGCAGUGUUGAAAGGGAUGUCUGAAUAGGAAUGCUCUGUAUGUUAUACAGCAUGUCUGUUUUAU
ensembl:lncRNA